CGGGCGUUAAGUUGCAGGGUAUAGACCCGAAACCCGGUGAUCUAGCCAUGGGCAGGUUGAAGGUUGGGUAACACUAACUGGAGGACCGAACCGACUAAUGUUGAAAAAUUAGCGGAUGACCUGUGGCUGGGGGUGAAAGGCCAAUCAAACCGGGAGAUAGCUGGUUCUCCCCGAAAGCUAUUUAGGUAGCGCCUCGUGAAUUCAUCUCCGGGGGUAGAGCACUGUUUCGGCUAGGGGGCCAUCCCGGCUUACCAACCCGAUGCAAACUGCGAAUACCGGAGAAUGUUAUCACGGGAGACACACGGCGGGUGCUAACGUCCGUCGUGAAGAGGGAAACAACCCAGACCGCCAGCUAAGGUCCCAAAGUCAUGGUUAAGUGGGAAACGAUGUGGGAAGGCCCAGACAGCCAGGAUGUUGGCUUAGAAGCAGCCAUCAUUUAAAGAAAGCGUAAUAGCUCACUGGUCGAGUCGGCCUGCGCGGAAGAUGUAACGGGGCUAAACCAUGCACCGAAGCUGCGGCAGCGACACUGUGUGUUGUUGGGUAGGGGAGCGUUCUGUAAGCCUGUGAAGGUGUGUCGUGAGGCAUGCUGGAGGUAUCAGAAGUGCGAAUGCUGACAUAAGUAACGAUAAAGCGGGUGAAAAGCCCGCUCGCCGGAAGACCAAGGGUUCCUGUCCAACGUUAAUCGGGGCAGGGUGAGUCGACCCCUAAGGCGAGGCCGAAAGGCGUAGUCGAUGGGAAACGGGUUAAUAUUCCCGUACUUGGUGUUACUGCGAAGGGGGGACGGAGAAGGCUAUGUUGGCCGGGCGACGGUUGUCCCGGUUUAAGCGUGUAGGUGUGUGUUCCAGGUAAAUCCGGUUCACUUUAACACUGAGGCGUGACGACGAGGCACUACGGUGCUGAAGCAACAAAUGCCCUGCUUCCAGGAAAAGCCUCUAAGCAUCAGGUAACAUCAAAUCGUACCCCAAACCGACACAGGUGGUCAGGUAGAGAAUACCAAGGCGCUUGAGAGAACUCGGGUGAAGGAACUAGGCAAAAUGGUGCCGUAACUUCGGGAGAAGGCACGCUGACACGUAGGUGAAGUGAUUUACUCAUGGAGCUGAAGUCAGUCGAAGAUACCAGCUGGCUGCAACUGUUUAUUAAAAACACAGCACUGUGCAAACACGAAAGUGGACGUAUACGGUGUGACGCCUGCCCGGUGCCGGAAGGUUAAUUGAUGGGGUCAGCGCAAGCGAAGCUCCUGAUCGAAGCCCCGGUAAACGGCGGCCGUAACUAUAACGGUCCUAAGGUAGCGAAAUUCCUUGUCGGGUAAGUUCCGACCUGCACGAAUGGCGUAAUGAUGGCCAGGCUGUCUCCACCCGAGACUCAGUGAAAUUGAACUCGCUGUGAAGAUGCAGUGUACCCGCGGCAAGACGGAAAGACCCCGUGAACCUUUACUAUAGCUUGACACUGAACAUUGAGCCUUGAUGUGUAGGAUAGGUGGGAGGCUUUGAAGUGUGGACGCCAGUCUGCAUGGAGCCGACCUUGAAAUACCACCCUUUAAUGUUUGAUGUUCUAACGUGGACCCGUGAUCCGGGUUGCGGACAGUGUCUGGUGGGUAGUUUGACUGGGGCGGUCUCCUCCUAAAGAGUAACGGAGGAGCACGAAGGUUGGCUAAUCCUGGUCGGACAUCAGGAGGUUAGUGCAAUGGCAUAAGCCAGCUUGACUGCGAGCGUGACGGCGCGAGCAGGUGCGAAAGCAGGUCAUAGUGAUCCGGUGGUUCUGAAUGGAAGGGCCAUCGCUCAACGGAUAAAAGGUACUCCGGGGAUAACAGGCUGAUACCGCCCAAGAGUUCAUAUCGACGGCGGUGUUUGGCACCUCGAUGUCGGCUCAUCACAUCCUGGGGCUGAAGUAGGUCCCAAGGGUAUGGCUGUUCGCCAUUUAAAGUGGUACGCGAGCUGGGUUUAGAACGUCGUGAGACAGUUCGGUCCCUAUCUGCCGUGGGCGCUGGAGAACUGAGGGGGGCUGCUCCUAGUACGAGAGGACCGGAGUGGACGCAUCACUGGUGUUCGGGUUGUCAUGCCAAUGGCACUGCCCGGUAGCUAAAUGCGGAAGAGAUAAGUGCUGAAAGCAUCUAAGCACGAAACUUGCCCCGA
rnacentral:rRNA from 1 species